CCUACGGGAGGCAGCAGUGGGGAAUAUUGCACAAUGGGGGGAACCCUGAUGCAGCGACGCCGCGUGAGUGAAGAAGUAUUUCGGUAUGUAAAGCUCUAUCAGCAGGGAAGAAAAUGACGGUAACUGACGAAGAAGCCCCGGCUAACUACGUGCCAGCAGCCGCGGUUAUACGGAGGGGGCAAGCGUUAUCCGGAUUUACUGGGUGUAAAGGGAGCGCAGACGGCUGUGCAAGUCUGGAGUGAAAGGCGCGGGCCCAACCCCCGGACUGCUCUGGAAACUGUAAAGCUGGAGUGCGGGAGAGGUAAGCGGAAUUCCUAGUGUAGCGGUGAAAUGCGUAGAUAUUAGGAGGAACACCAGUGGCGAAGGCGGCUUACUGGACUGCAACUGACGUUGAGGCUCGAAAGCGUGGGGAGCAAACAGGAUUAGAUACCCUUGUAGUC
rnacentral:rRNA from 1 species